ensembl:lncRNA
GCUGGUCUCCACCAUGACUGAGGCCUCCUUGUGUGGUGAUUUCCAUAACUGGCGACACAUGUCUCUUCAAAGGCCAGACUGCUCUAGAAACAAGCCCAGGGCCUCCAGAAAAGAACAUCUCACCUCCGAUCUGUUCCCUGAGCGGAAAAGAAGGACUAACUUGACAUUAUAGAGCAGGAGUAUACCAUGGGAGGAAAGCGGUCACAUCGCUCCAGCUAUUACUGUCAUGUGGGAAUAUGUGUCCAGGACAUGUGAGCUUUCCACUCGCAAGAGAAGUCAGAAACUUGGAUUUUAAAUAAAUCUUCCUACUUUGAUUACUCAAUGGUGGAUUAUAUGACCACGAGCACCAAACAGCUCCAUGAGAGCCGCGAGUUGGCAAACUGAGAUGGACAGAAUAAAAUCUGACUGUCUGAGGACUUGAAUGACAAACUAAAAUUCUAUUUCCUCUGCUAGAUGAUGAAAACAAGAUUCUGGAGCAAAGAAGGGGUCUGAAUGAAAGCGUGCUUCAGGGAUAUUCCCAUGGUUUUUUCGGUAAACCUUGGGAUGGAAUGGAGAAGGGGCCUCAGUCAGGAGCUCACAGGUGGUUGCUCCAAUUGUGCACAGAGAACAGAAAAGAAAGGAGAAGAGGAAAGGUAUGAAAGAUGCUGGGAGGCACCUGGGAGAUAGCUGGGAGAUGUGACUGGCCCUGGAAGGAG